UGAGAGGAAACAUGCAGUGUAUGUGUGUGUAUGCGCGCGUGUCUGUGCGUGCGUGUGUGUGUCAGGAGGGCAUCAGGGUGUGCGUGUUCAGGGAACCGCACCGACACCCCGCCCACCCACACCGCCCGCCCACCUACAUGUGGUGCUCCAGCGGGCCCAGCGGCACGGGCGAGUAGGUGAGCGCCUUGUAAGUCUUGACCAGGCCCGCCUCCCGGUCCUAUGGGCAGCGGGGGCGCGUGCUUGGCAUGUGUUGGGAAACCACGAGGGAGAGAGGUGUCGUCGCGGCCCCUCACACACGUCGUCACUUCCUGGGUUUGUGCUUCCCGCUGCCGACUCCUCCCUCACCACCACCACUGUUGAAUGGUGAUUACGACUAUCGCUAGCCGGAAGUAGGGGCGGCUGACAGUCAGACUGUUUCGCACAUUACAUAGUACCACACUACUUAACUAUAACGGGUAGCUCUCUGGCUUAUACCCUCGCAUGGGUUCCGGGUCAGGUCCUUGCAUGGUGUAUCGCACACACACUCUCGGAACUCCCCUACGUUCUCCCUUAUGGAUAGUUCUGACCGAUAUCUCAACACUCCCCCGCGGGCAGAACUCCAUACUCAAAUUACGUAUCGCAAUAGCCUCCUACCUCAAAUCACGUGCUACAGACAAUUCCUUGCAUACCUCGUACGCUUGCCGCUUGUAGUCACUGUGCUACUGCAAUCGUCCCAUGUCCUCGUGUCCUCAAGAUCACGUCUUUCUCUUUCUCACUGCAUCGUCCAUAAUCAGCACAAAUCAAUACGGUCUUCUAUCGCAAUCAAUUCCAUCCGGAAAUCCAUACUCAAUCAUAUCUGCACGGCUCCCCCGUGUCCGAAUGCUCCCGCAUCCGCUGUACUUACGGCUUCACUUCACCGUACCUGCGGUUUCACACACCGCAUCAUGCCGCACUACCGGCAUCAUAGCUUCAAGUGCUUGAGAGCCAUACACAUAAGAUGAUCUUUUAACAUCAUAUGAUAAGAGCAUAACAGCAACUCUCAACCGCUGGCGUCUCGCGCAGUGAUCAGGUCUCACUCGCAGUGAUCAGACCUCACUCGCUGUGAUCAGGCCAUACCGCAGUAAUCAGGCCUCACGCGCCACAUAACAUACCUGUGCACCUCACUCGUGCAACAGUCGCAAAGCCAAUUCCGUUGCAUUUGCUCUCGUACAUCUCCAGGUGCUUAACUCACACCCCGUGCUUCACUUGCACGUCUCAUACUGGUGCUUCACUCACACCGCGUGUCAUACUCGCACGCAUAUCGUACUCACGAUGCCUUCCUUGCACCGACAUACUCACGAUGCUUUACUCGCACCGACAUACUCACGAUGCUUUACUCGCACCGACAGCCCAACGUGGCCGUUCACAUCACAUCGGAGCUAGCAUCAUAGUCUAUGCUCCACAUCAUAUCUUCUGCUCCUACGAACGCUACUAGGCGCGGACCCCCCGGCCGCGCCCCCGGCCGUUUCCCUGGUCCACGUUCACCGCCCACAUGCGCCGGUCACCGCCGUCCCGGCCAACGUGUGCACCGCGCCCCCGGUUGCCACCGCCGCCCUCAGCGGCCUGCUCUGGGCACUCGUACUUGUAGUGUCCCCAGCCCUGGCACCUGUGGCACUGGAUGUUCUCCUUGUUGCGCACACCGCGCCCUCCGCGGCCACCACGGCCGCCUCCCACGCCGCGCACAAAGUGAAUUGACGGCUCGCCACUGCUGCUGCUACCGCGCACGCUGGUCAGGGUGUUCUGGAACCGCGUGAGCCUCGACUCCGCGUCCGGCACGCUCCACCUGCCAGUGCUCGUGUAGAACUCCUCUGCAAUGGCCACAACGCUGGCAUACUCCUGCGGCAGAGCAUUGAAUGCUGCCGACACGACGAGCCUGUCGCGGUCGCCGUUGGUGUAGCCCGGGCAUCCCGACCAACACAGCCUCUCCACCAUGUCAGCAAUGCGCUGGAUGAGCUCGCUAAUCUGCUCGCUCCCUCCCAGCCUGACGCUGCCCAGGUCGGCUGCCCACUGACGGUGAUUUCCAGCCGCCAGCUUCUUGUAGUAUGCCAUCAGCGCUUGCACAAGGCGCUUCGCCUCGUUCUGCUUGGCAGUAGGGUUGGCCUUCUUCUCCGCUUCCAGGGUCUCUAGCAGCUCCUCAUAGAUGAAGUGGUCGGACAGCCUCACAUGGCUCAGGAUAAGGGCGACCGCCUUCUGCUGCUUCGCCUCCGGCGCGUCGUCGUCACGGAUAGCCGGACCCAGCUCCUUCCAGUUAAGAUAAAUCCUUAACUUGGAGAGCCAAAUGUGGGCCGUGCUUUGCUCGAGCAUAAUCGGCUUUCCACAGACUCCGCCCUCAUCGUUCAUUUGCGCUCACUGGCCUACAGCCUAUCGGUUAUCUUGUCUUUACUCGACAAAGCGCAACCCGCCGCAACUACGCGGGGCUCAUAACCUGUUGAAUGGUGAUUACGACUAUCGCUAGCCGGAAGUAGGGGCGGCUGACAGUCAGACUGUUUCGCACAUUACAUAGUACCACACUACUUAACUAUAACGGGUAGCUCUCUGGCUUAUACCCUCGCAUGGGUUCCGGGUCAGGUCCUUGCAUGGUGUAUCGCACACACACUCUCGGAACUCCCCUACGUUCUCCCUUAUGGAUAGUUCUGACCGAUAUCUCAACAACCACCACCACCACCACCCCUGCCUCCCUCUCCCCGCCUGCCUCCCUCUCCCCGCUGCCUCCCUUCCUCUCCCCCCCUGCCCCGCUGCCGCUCUCACUC
rnacentral:lncRNA from 1 species